rnacentral:rRNA from 1 species
UACGGAGGGUGCAAGCGUUAUCCGGAUUCACUGGGUUUAAAGGGUGCGUAGGUGGGGAGGUAAGUCAGCGGUGAAAUCCCCGAGCUUAACUUGGGAACUGCCAUUGAUACUAUCUCUCUUGAAUACCUUGGAGGUGAGCGGAAUAUGUCAUGUAGCGGUGAAAUGCUUAGAUAUGACAUAGAACACCAAAUUGCGAAGGCAGCUCACUACACGGUCAUUGACACUGAGGCACGAAAGCGUGGGGAUCAAACAGG